rnacentral:lncRNA from 1 species
CAGGGAACGGCGCGUAAUGAUGACGUCACCAAUGAUGGCGGAAGUGACCCAAAAUGGCCCGAAUUCAACCCAAAAUCGAGUUGUAUUCGUUUACUAUUGAAAAGGAGAAAAAUUGGGCCCUUGGGGGGUCAAACUGCGUCAUUUCCGGUCCCUUUUGGCCCGUUUUCCUACUAAUUAAGGCCUAAAUUAAUCAAUGAAGCCCUAAGUUAAUUAAUGAAGCCCUAAAUUAAUUAAUUAAGCCAUAAAUUAAUUAAUUAGGCCUUAAAUUACUUCAUGAAGCCCUGAAUUACUCAAUUAAGCCCUCAAUUACUUAAUUAAGCCUUCGAUUAAUUAAUGAAGCCCCAAAUUACUUAAGCCCUAAAUUAAUUAAGCUUUCAAUUAAUUAAUGAAGCCCUAAAUUUCUUAAUUAAGCCCUGAAUUUCUUAAUUAUGCCGUAAAUUUCUUAAUUAAGCCCUAAAUUACUUAAUUAAGCACUAAAUUAAAGCCGGAUCCGGUUGGAUCCCGGCGCCGCCAUGUUGGGAAUUAGUGCCGCCAUGUUGGAUCCGGGCGCCGCCAUGUUGGGAAUUAGUGCCGCCAUGUUGGAUCUGGGCGCCGCCAUGUUGGAACCUGGCACCCGCCAUGUUGGAUCCAGGUGCCGCCAUAUUGAUUGUGGGCAUCCUGAUUGACAGACCAGCAGGACCAGCUCUAUUCCCAUUGCCUGGCCCGUGCUCUGGUGGACGCUGCGGCCCCACUGACUGUGGGGAUUUUCGCUCCCUGUUCCCAUCGACUGCAAGGGAUGCUGAAGCACCUCGAGGGUGAGUGUGGGGUUAUGGGGUGGUAUGGGGUUAUGGGGUGAUAUGGGGUUAUGGGGCUAUAUGGGGUUAUGGGAUGAUGUGGGGUUAUGGGGUUAUAUGGAGUUAUAUGGGGUUAUGGGGCUAUAUGGGGUUAUGGGAUGAUGUGGGGCUAUAUGGGGUUAUGGGGUGAUGUGGGGUUAUGGGGUUAUAUGGAGUUAUAUGGGGUUAUGGGGUUAUAUGGGGUUAUGGGGCUAUAUGGGGUUAUGAAGUGAUGUGAGGUGAUAUGGGGCAUAUGGGGUUAUGGCAUAUGGGGUUAUGGGAUGAUACAGGGUGAUAUGGGGCUAUAAGGUGAUAUGGGGCUAUAUGGGGUUAUGGGAUGAUACAGGGUGAUAUGGGGUUAUAAGGUGAUAUGGGGCUAUAUGGGGUUAUGGGGUGAUGAAGGGUGAUAUGGGGCUAUAUGGGACUAUAUGGGGCUAUAUGGGUUGAUAUGGGGUUGAUAUGGGGUUGAUAUGGGGUUAUGGAGCUA